rnacentral:rRNA from 1 species
UACGGAGGAUGCGAGCGUUAUCCGGAUUUACUGGGUGUAAAGGGAGCGUAGGCGGCUUAGUAAGUCAGAAGUGAAAGCCCGCAGCUCAACUGCGGGACUGCUUUUGAAACUGCCAAGCUAGAGUGUCGGAGAGGUAAGUGGAAUUCCUAGUGUAGCGGUGAAAUGCGUAGAUAUUAGGAGGAACACCAGUGGCGAAGGCGGCUUACUGGGCUUUAACUGACGCUGAGGCUCGAAAGCGUGGGUAUCGAACAGG